CCUACGGGUGGCAGCAGUGAGGAAUAUUGGUCAAUGGACGAGAGUCUGAACCAGCCAAGUAGCGUGAAGGAUGACUGCCCUAUGGGUUGUAAACUUCUUUUAUAAAGGAAUAAAACGAGGCACGUGUGCCUUUUUGCAUGUACUUUAUGAAUAAGGAUCGGCUAACUCCGUGCCAGCAGCCGCGGUAAUACGGAGGAUCCGAGAGUUAUCCGGAUUUAUUGGGUUUAAAGGGAGCGUAGAUGGGUUGUUAAGUCAGUUGUGAAAGUUUGCGGCUCAACCGUAAAAUUGCAAUUGAUACUGGCAGUCGUGAGUACAGUUGAGGUAGGCGGAAUUCGUGGUGUAGCGGUGAAAUGCUUAGAUAUCACGAAGAACCCCGAUUGCGAAGGCAGCUUACUAAACUGUGACUGACAUUGAUGCUCGAAAGUGUGGGUAUCAAACAGGAUUAGAUACCCCAGUAGUC
rnacentral:rRNA from 1 species